GUGCUCACUUCGGCAGCUCAUAUACUAAAAUUGUAACGAUACAGAGAAAAUUAGCAUGGACCCUGUGCACGGAUGACAUGCAAAUUCGGGAAGCAUUCCAUAUUAAA
ensembl:snRNA U6 U6 spliceosomal RNA